UCUUCAUGUUUAAAUUCUUGCCAGUGGUGCUGAUACUUUUUUUUUUAUCACAACCACUUGUUUCAGCUGUUCCAAGUAUUGAAGCAUUACUUAUGCAAGUACUUAGAGAGGGCUGCCCAUUACAAAAGAAGAGCUCAUCACGAUGCUGUGAUGGUAUGUUUGCAAAACUGGAAAAAAUUCUGUGCUAUGGUGGCCUUAAGUACGUGCUGGAUCGGAUUGCCAUAGAUUGCAUCAAACUUACCCAUUUGGCAACCCAAGUCUACUCUUAGGUGAUCUAUACCUGAUCCUGUGUUUUAAAGUGAUCUGAUUUCACAGCUACAUUUCUGUGUUCUUUUCCGUUGGUCUAUGGUUCUGAAUUGAGG